GAUGAACGCUGACAGAAUGCUUAACACAUGCAAGUCUUGGCGAAAGCGUGGUUGCACAGCCCUGCCAAGGCGGGAGGGGGAGGAAACGGGAAAGAACCUUCCCCUCCGUCAAGGAAUAACAACGGAAAAGGCCGGAAAAGCCCGGGAAAGGUAAGCCGAACCAUGGCCCGGCUGAAUAAAAAAAGAUGCUGCAGGAGAGCCUUGCGUCCUAUUGGCUGGUUGGUGGGGUAACGGCCAACCAAGGCGAUGAUAGGUAGCCGGCCUGAGAGGGUGGACGGCCACAAGGGGACUGAGAUACGGCCCUUACUCCUACGGGAGGCAGCAGUGGGGAAUAUUGGACAAUGGGGGCAACCCUGAUCCAGCAAUUCUGUGUGCACGAUGAAGGUUUUCGGAUUGUAAAGUGCUUUCAGCAGGGAAGAAAAAAAUGACGGUACCUGCAGAAGAAGCGACGGCUAAAUACGUG
rnacentral:rRNA from 1 species